UGAGCAUUCACCUUUUCUUUUCUUCCGGUGGAGACAUUGCCAGAGAGCAUUAAGGACUGGUUGGAAGCUGUGUGAGAGAGAGACGAGCCGCACAAUUUUGCGAGCUCCUCAAGAUAGCUCCGAUUGUUUUUUUGGAUGAGAGAAAGAGAUCGACUGAACCUGACUCUGAUGUCAGUGGCGAGCUAACCAGAACUCGACAACGAACAGACCAAGAACCUAGUGUGGCCAGCUGUGGCAUCUUGGGACCGUCAUCAUUCCGUUCCUUCACCGGAGAUACAGAUAAGAUCAUACAUAAACCUACCCGGGUAGUAAAAAAGGAAAGACAUUCAUACUCCAAGAAACACACACACACACAUCAAGAUCUUCCAUGAACUCCAAAGGCAGCAAUUUUUUUGUUUUGUUUUGAAAUUACUUGGUUUAAGCCUAAUAUUGUGCGCCUGUGCACUCAGGAAGCCGGCUUAGAUAGGCAGGGAGUGUAAAAUAUUGUUAAUAAUUUUGUACAAUACAUAUUUCAAACUUACCUAUUUUGUGAUGUGUGUUCACUGCUGACCUUUUACUAUUUCAGGCUCCAUAGUCGUACUUAGAAUCUUCUGAUAAUAACCUAGCU